AUCACUUCUCAGCCUUCUGGCUGAGGUCGAGUGUAGUACCUGUUCUUACCAGUUUAAUAUCUGAUACGUCCUCUAUCCGAGAACAAUACAUUACAUGGAUUUUUGGAGCUGGGAGAUGGAAUAGGAGCUUGCUCCGUGCACUCCAUGUGUCGACCUGGUAUUGCAGUACCUCCCGGGGACCUUCCCCGGGGAAACAUAA